rnacentral:rRNA from 1 species
GACGAACGCUGGCGGCGUGCUUAACACAUGCAAGUCGAACGGUGAAGCCUUCGGGUGGAUCAGUGGCGAACGGGUGAGUAACACGUGAGCAAUCUGCCCUUGACUCUGGGAUAACUUCGGGAAACCGGAGCUAAUACCGGAUAUGACAUCUGGCCGCAUGGUCUGGGUGUGGAAAGAUUUAUCGGUCAGGGAUGAGCUCGCGGCCUAUCAGCUUGUUGGUGGGGAAUGGCCCACCAAGGCGACGACGGGUAGCCGGCCUGAGAGGGCGACCGGCCACACUGGGACUGAGACACGGCCCAGACUCCUACGGGAGGCAGCAGUGGGGAAUAUUGCGCAAUGGGCGAAAGCCUGACGCAGCGACGCCGCGUGAGGGAUGAAGGCC